UGUGGUUCUCACAUUUCCUCAAUUUUGUUCUAUGUUAUUAUUUAUGUUAGUCAAUUUUGUUAUAAUGAAAUGAAAGUUGUUACUCAGUACCUCAAUUGGUAUUAGUUAUUUGAAUUUUUAAAUUUUUUAUCAUAAUUUUUUACAUGAGCGUACCAAAUUAUUAAUUAAAACUUACCACGUACCAAAAUGACGAACCGAUUCUGUAUACCCCUCUCGUACCACAUAUUUCUUUAAUCGCGAACAACGUUCCGGUACCCGUACCGCGUACCGAAGCGUAUGGAGAACCAGGUAACUAUGAGGUGGAUAUUUUGGUGGUUGGGAGAAGAAUUUUGAACCAAUUAUAGGGUAAACCAAGUUGAUCUUGUGUAGAAAGUUGUAUAAAGGAAGUGGUUCAGAGGAUCUUCUGCAAAUAAUAUUUUUGGUGAAAUUGCUUCCAGAUCCCUUUUCCAUCUCGAUGAUACGAGAUGUUUGAUUAGCAUCUUGAAUAUAACUGGUUUUGCUAUUCUGAAGUCCUGGUAUUGGAGUGAUUUUUUCUUUGGGAAAUGUAACUUCAAAUAUUGAGAUUGAAGCUGUCAUUCAUUUUACCAAAGGUGUCUAAUGUCUAUGGACUAUAGAUGGAUUCUUUUGUCCUUGUUGUGACUUCAGUUACCAUGCAAUGUAAAUAGUACUUCAUUUGGGGCCUAGGAAAAUGCCUUCCAUUUAUUCAAAGAUCCAGUAUCUUGCUAUGUUCGACUGUUUGAGAUGACUAUAAGAACAACAAGCAAGGAUAAAGGUUCUUUUACGUAAGACAACUAGUUCAGCACCGCCACUACGGAAAACCUGCCACGAUACAGCCUCCAUUGUCGCAAUCGAUGACUUAGCCUUGCCCAGGCUCCACAAAAGUCUUGGCUCCGCCACUGACUGUGACCGGACCUUUCCUUGUUUUUACAUUGUUUAAAUUUAAUGUGCGUUAACUUGAUGCAGGACCUUGCCCGAGAAUACAUGACCAGAAAUUGAAAGAAAGGUGAACAAAUAAAUUUAUGGUGCUGUCGGUGCUGUAAUGCCCACAAUUUUUAGAGCCCCUCACCCUCCUUUGGUGGUUCUCGGUGUUGUGAGGCCAGAAUCAUGGAUUGGUUUUUCUUAUGGAACGUUUUUCUAGGUGUUUAGAAUGAUUAUAGGAUGAAAUGGUACCGAGGGUUGAAAUUGAAUGUGUGAUGUGUGAAUAUAUGUCUCUAUAUGACAGGGGAUUGUGUUCAAAAGAGUAGAACCUGUGUUUUAUGGGAGGGGUUUGCAAAUCUGGUUUUUUUUUUAUGAUGAUGAAAUAUUGUAGAUGAUGUUGAUAA